rnacentral:lncRNA from 1 species
AUGAGAAGCUUUGUCAAUAUUGAUAUUUAUGUGAAGAAAUCUAUUUAUUUGAGAUAUACAAUGAGUCAGUGUGACUUCACUACGAAAUGA